rnacentral:tRNA from 1 species
UCAGCGCUCUUAUUUCUA